GGCCCUUGAAUUAAUCAUCAAAUAUAAUUAUGGACUAAAAGCCCAUUUAUAUUCACCGGUACAGGAAAGGGCUUUAGCCCCAGGCCGUAAGGGCCUUUAGUCCCGGCUACAGAACCGGGGCUAAGGUUUCGGAACUAAAUGUCCCACCUUUAGUCCUAGUUCCACGGACCAGGACUAGAGGUCCACCUUUAGUCCCGCUUGGUAAUAGCAACCGGGACUAAAAGGUGCGCUAGGGUGUGCCACCUGGCCUCCACUUUUAGUCCUGGUUGUUGCUACCAACCCGGACUAAUGACUUUUUUCUUUUUUCCUUUUCUUUUCUUUUGGUUUUCCAUUUAGGGUUUACAAUUAUGUUAUUAUUAUUUUCGAAUGCGUAUUUGCUGGUAGUUUAUGGAACGCACACCUAUAAUUUAUAUAAUUUAAAGCAUUACAUAUAAAUAUACUAUAAAACAAUAUUAUAUGUAUCUAUAGGUCCAUAAUAUAAUAUUUACACAUAUGCAUCACGGACAAAGUAUUUACAACACAAUUUAUCUGUGCCACUCAAGCAUCGUACAAGGUUUCACCGGCUCCUGAGGGUUGAAGUAGCACUCACCGCCGGGAUUCAGGACUUGGUCGUUAAGAAAUCUUGCGAUUGUCUCCUGAAUUUCUUUUAGGCGGACCGCAUCCAACAUCUGCUCCUUCAACCACAUCUCAUUUAAUAGACAUUAAAGAAAAAAGUUAGAGGUAUGAAUAGGAUUUAUUAAAUAGCAACAAAUAAAUGAAAUAAACUUAUUAUAUAUACAUGUUACAUACUUUUAGGUGCUCAAGAUUUGUUCUUUUGGCAUAGACCGUCAUAAACUCACACACAUAGUAGCUACACAAAUUGUUGCCCGGUGUCUGCCGUAGAACCAGCUGAAGUAAGAUAGGCUUUGAAAGUGCUGCAUUCAACUCUGGACAGUGUUUCUGCACGAACCCAGUCCAAACCCUAGCAAUAAAACGAUCAUUAUUAAUUAUCUAUUACCGAGUUAAAAGAGCAGAAUUUAAUAUAUAGAGAUCAGAGUUACCCUUGGAUAAUAUCUAUCAUUUAUUGGUAAUCGUCCUGUGGUUUUCUCAAUGAGUCAUAGAUUACCAAUUGACAUUGCCAGAGAUCAAUGACAAUUAGUAUCUAAUGAAAGCUGCAUUUGUGUGCAUAUAGGUAAAAUUAGUAUAUAUCUUCAUACUGAUGUGAUUAAUUAGUUAAAUAGAAUGUACA
rnacentral:lncRNA from 1 species